AGUGAACGCUGGCGGUAGGCCUAACACAUGCGAGUCGAACGGCAGCACAGUAAGAGCUUGCUCUUACGGGUGGCGAGUGGCGGACGGGUGAGGAAUACAUCGGAAUCUACUUUUUCGUGGGGGAUAACGUAGGGAAACUUACGCUAAUACCGCAUACGACCUACGGGUGAAAGCAGGGGAUCUUCGGACCUUGCGCGAUUGAAUGAGCCGAUGUCGGAUUAGCUAGUUGGCGGGGUAAAGGCCCACCAAGGCGACGAUCCGUAGCUGGUCUGAGAGGAUGAUCAGCCACACUGGAACUGAGACACGGUCCAGACUCCUACGGGAGGCAGCAGUGGGGAAUAUUGGACAAUGGGCGCAAGCCUGAUCCAGCCAUACCGCGUGGGUGAAGAAGGCCUCGGGUUGUAAAGCCCUUUUGUUGGGAAAGAAAAGCAGCAGGUUAAUACCCCGCUGUUCUGACGGUACCCAAAGAAUAAGCACCGGCUAACUUCGUG
rnacentral:rRNA from 1 species